rnacentral:rRNA from 1 species
GGGCGCAGCUGAUCAGCAUGCCGCGUGAGUGAAGAAGGCCUUCGGGUUGUAAAGCCCUUUUGUUGGGGAAGAAAUCAAUCUGGCUAAUACCCGGGGGGGAUGACGGUACCCUAAGAAUAAGCACCGGGUAACUUCGUGCCAGCAGCCGCGGUAAUACGAAAGGUGCAAGCGUUAAUCGGAAUUACUGGGCGUAAAGCGUGCGUAGGGGGUCGUUUAAGUCCGUUGUGAAAGCCCUGGGCUCAACCUGGGAACUGCAAUGGAAACUGGGCGACUAGAGUGCGGGAGAGGGUAGCGGAAUUCCCGGUGUAGCAGUGAAAUGCGUAGAGAUCAGGAGGAACAUCCAUGGCGAAGGCAGCCACCUGGACCAACACUGACACUGAGGCACGAAAGCGUGGGGAGCAAACAGGAUUAGAUACCCUGGUAGUCCACGCCCUAAACGAUGCGAACUGGAUGUUGGGUGCAAUUUGGCACUCAGUGUCGAAGCUAACGCGAUAAGUUCGCCGCCUGGGGAGUACGGUCGCAAGACUGAAACUCAAAUGAAAUUGACG